rnacentral:rRNA from 1 species
AACGAACGCUGGCGGCAUGCCUAACACAUGCAAGUCGAACGAGACCUUCGGGUCUAGUGGCGCACGGGCGCGUAACGCGUGGGAACCUGCCCUUAGGUUCGGAAUAACUCCCCGAAAGGGGUGCUAAUACCGGACAAUGUCUUCGGACCAAAGAUUUAUCGCCUUUGGAUGGGCCCGCGUUGGAUUAGCUAGUUGGUAGGGUAAAAGCCUACCAAGGCGACGAUCCAUAGCUGGUCUGAGAGGAUGAUCAGCCACACUGGGACUGAGACACGGCCCAGACUCCUACGGGAGGCAGCAGUGGGGAAUAUUGGACAAUGGGCGAAAGCCUGAUCCAGCAAUGCCGCGUGAGUGAUGAAGGCCUUAGGGUUGUAAAGCUCUUUUACCCGGGAUGAUAAUGACAGUACCGGGAGAAUAAGCUCCGGCUAACUCCGUG